GAGGAGUAAAGAAAAGGGAAAAGCCACAGCUCCUUCCUAGCAGCUGGAUGCCUUUGAUGCGUGCUCACCCUCCUGAAGGGUGUUCCUCUGUCUGGAAGCACAGGCACUGCCCCAACAGGCUGCCUGCAACUUAUCCCCCAGGAAGGGGCAAAUGUGUGAAGGGGAGACCAGAGAAGAGACUGAAGGAUGCAGAGCACAGAGGCCAGACAGGUGUGAUCAGAUUUCAGGUUUUCUGUGGAAAAGGACUGGAGUAUCCACACCUUUGUUACCAGUUCCCAAUCAUUCCCCUGUGUUAAAUCCAGUGCUCUCCCAGGCAGACACCAUCAGAUGCCGUCUCCAAAGGGUAACAUUGCACUCAGCACAAGCAGAUGAAAGUAAGCCCUGGUUGUUUUUAUUAUAUGUAUGUCCUGAUGGGACACUUGUGGCUGGGUUCUUUUUCCCCCUCGAACUGAGACUGAUGACAGAGGGGCAGCUUUCUCUUGUUCAGACUUGGUUGUUUAUUCUUACCUACAUUACAUGUAUACAGGAUACAAGGAGCUACGUGCACUAAGACAGGAAGGUGCAAAAUGGCUAACAAAGAACUUCCUCAAGGUCUUUUAUAUGUCUAUUUAUCCAAUUAACAAAUGCUAAGUAAAUUAUUUUUCUUAGUGACCCAAUGACCCAACACCUGUGUGCUGCACUGUGGCAUUCUCUACCCAAUGACUUACUACUACCCAAAAACCUCUAGAGGAAGAAGAUGAAGAAGGAAGAAGGAAAAGAGACAACACCCUUAUUCCUCCAUCUUUCUUCAUGUUUUCUAAACCAGCUUAAACCUUAAACUUUAACUUUCUCACCUGGUGACUAAAGAAAACUCUCUAAUUUACACACUCACAUUUUCAGUUUCUCUACUUAACUCUAACAGUUGUCUCCAUGGUGUUAUGUGAAGUUCAGUGCUUUCUUGGGUGUCAGUUAGGCAUCACAGAUAAAGGUAUAUACCUUGCAUCUCUGACCCCAACAUAUGUAAGCAUUUCAGUAGCAUCCAGGGGCUCCAGCAAGGCCUUCAAAAGCAAGACACAAGUCACCUGUAACAUCUCUGCCAAGCCUCAAAGGGUCAGGUUUAGCCUCCAAAGGUCCCUGUUGAAGAGCAGCAGUAAAAUUGGCACUAGUCCUAGCCCAGAUGCCUAGGAGAACAGCUGAGAUUGCCUCUGACACAGGCAAGAUUCAUUAUAUAAAGUACCAAAUUAAAGACAUGAAACCCUUUCUUUAGGGAAAGGAGGGGAACACCAAUCCACACUCCCUAUCACACUACCUUCUACCCCUCAAACCUGCCACCCACCUCAUACAGUUGCCUUCUUUGAAUUCUUUUUUUCAGCCCAAGCAGAAGCUGAGUUUGCAGCUUUCUCAGCUUCCCCUCUUCCAGUGAAGGCUCCUGAUUGCUCUUGGAAAGCCCCAUCUGAUCCGAGAUCCAGAACCACUCUGUGCACAUGGUCCACUUGGUACCAAGAGGUACAGCUCAGAUGGAGAACAGCUGGAACUCUAGAGAUCCCCAUUUCCUGCUCAGGUGCUCCCUC
rnacentral:lncRNA from 1 species